AUCGCUUCUUGGCCUUUUGGCUAAGAUCAAGUGUGAAAUCCAUGUGUCUUGUGUCUCAAGACUUUUUGUAAAAAAUUUUUUAAUAUAUAUAUUUUUUUCUUUUUGGCUGCCCCACGGCAUAUGGAGUUCCUGGGCCAGGGAUUAGAUCCGACCUGGGGCAAUGCUGGAUCCCUAUCCCACUGUGC